rnacentral:rRNA from 1 species
AACUGGUGAGUAACACGUGGGGAAUCUGCCCAGAAGCAGGGGAUAACACUUGGAAACAGGUGCUAAUACCGUAUAACAACAAAAUCCGCAUGGAUUUUGUUUGAAAGGUGGCUUCSGCUAUCACUUCUGGAUGAUCCCSCGGCGUAUUAGUUARUUGGUGAGGUAAAGGCCCACCAAGACSAUGAUACKUARCCSACCUGAGAGGGUAAUCSGCCACRUUGGGACUGARACACGGCCCAAACUCCUACGGGAGGCAGCAGUAGGGAAUCUUCCACAAUGGACGAAAGUCUGAUGGAGCAAUGCCGCGUGAGUGAAGAAGGGUUUCGGCUCGUAAAACUCUGUUGUUAAAGAAGAACACCUUUGAGAGUAACUGUUCAAGGGUUGACGGUAUUUAACCAGAAAGCCAC